rnacentral:rRNA from 1 species
AGAUUGAACGCUGGCGGCAGGCCUAACACAUGCAAGUCGAGCGGCAGCACGGGUACUUGUACCUGGUGGCGAGCGGCGGACGGGUGAGUAAUGCCUAGGAAUCUGCCUGGUAGUGGGGGAUAACGCUCGGAAACGGACGCUAAUACCGCAUACGUCCUACGGGAGAAAGCAGGGGUACCUUCGGGCCUUGCGCUAUCAGAUGAGCCUAGGUCGGAUUAGCUAGUUGGUGAGGUAAUGGCUCACCAAGGCGACGAUCCGUAACUGGUCUGGAGAGGAUGAUCAGUCACACUGGAACUGAGACACGGUCCAGACCUCCGUACGGGAGGCAGCGUAGGUGGGAAUAGUUAGGAACAAGUGGGACGAAAGCCGUAGAC